UUGACCUCGGAUCAGGUAGGGAUACCCGCUGAACUUAAGCAUAUCAAUAAGCGGAGGAAAAGAAACCAACCGGGAUUGCCUCAGUAACGGCGAGUGAAGCGGCAAGAGCUCAAAUUUGAAAGCUGGCUCCUUCGGGGUCCGCAUUGUAAUUUGCAGAGGAUGCUUCGGGUGCGGCCCCUGUCUAAGUGCCCUGGAACGGGCCGUCAGAGAGGGUGAGAAUCCCGUCUGGGAUGGGGUGUCCGCGCCCGUGUGAAGCUCCUUCGACGAGUCGAGUUGUUUGGGAAUGCAGCUCUAAAUGGGUGGUAAAUUUCAUCUAAAGCUAAAUACUGGCCGGAGACCGAUAGCGCACAAGUAGAGUGAUCGAAAGAUGAAAAGCACUUUGAAAAGAGAGUUAAAAAGCACGUGAAAUUGUUGAAAGGGAAGCGCUUGCGACCAGACUCGCCUCCAGGGUUCAGCCGGCAUUCGUGCCGGUGUACUUCCCUGGGGGCGGGCCAGCGUCGGUUUGGGCGGCCGGUCAAAGGCUCCCGGAAUGUAGUGCCCUCCGGGGCACCUUAUAGCCGGGAGUGCAAUGCGGCCAGCCUGGACCGA
rnacentral:rRNA from 1 species